GAAAUCAAGGUUGGGUGAGACCUCGUGAACAGACUGGAAGGCGACCCAUACUUGGUUUCAG
rnacentral:pre_miRNA from 1 species